rnacentral:rRNA from 1 species
UACAGGGGGGGCAAGCGUUGUUCGGAAUUACUGGGCGUAAAGCGCGUGUAGGCAGCUUGGCAAGUCGGGUGUGAAAGCCCUGGGCUCAACCUAGGAAGUGCACUCGAAACUGCUUCGCUUGAGUAUCGGAGAGGAAAGCGGAAUUCUCGGUGUAGAGGUGAAAUUCGUAGAUAUCGAGAGGAACACCAGUGGCGAAGGCGGCUUUCUGGACGAUCACUGACGCUGAGACGCGAAAGCGUGGGGAGCAAACAGG